CACACAUGCUGUGAGCUCGAUGAGUAAGGCGGGACACGUGGUAUCCUGUCUGAAUAUGGGGGGACCAUCCUCCAAGGCUAAAUACUCCUGACUGACCGAUAGUGAACCAGUACCGUGAGGGAAAGGCGAAAAGAACCCCGGCGAGGGGAGUGAAACAGAACCUGAAACCGUGUACGUACAAGCAGUGGGAGCCUUCUUUAUGGGGGUGACUGCGUACCUUUUGUAUAAUGGGUCAGCGACUUAUAUUCUGUAGCAAGGUUAACCGUAUAGGGGAGCCGCAGGGAAACCGAGUCUUAACUGGGCGUUAAGUUGCAGGGUAUAGACCCGAAACCCGGUGAUCUAGCCAUGGGCAGGUUGAAGGUUGGGUAACACUAACUGGAGGACCGAACCGACUAAUGUUGAAAAAUUAGCGGAUGACCUGUGGCUGGGGGUGAAAGGCCAAUCAAACCGGGAGAUAGCUGGUUCUCCCCGAAAGCUAUUUAGGUAGCGCCUCGUGAACUCAUCUUCGGGGGUAGAGCACUGUUUCGGCUAGGGGGCCAUCCCGGCUUACCAACCCGAUGCAAACUGCGAAUACCGAAGAAUGUUAUCACGGGAGACACACGGCGGGUGCUAACGUCCGUCGUGAAGAGGGAAACAACCCAGACCGCCAGCUAAGGUCCCAAAGUCAUGGUUAAGUGGGAAACGAUGUGGGAAGGCACAGACAGCCAGGAUGUUGGCUUAGAAGCAGCCAUCAUUUAAAGAAAGCGUAAUAGCUCACUGGUCGAGUCGGCCUGCGCGGAAGAUGUAACGGGGCUAAACCAUGCACCGAAGCUGCGGCAGCGACACUAUGUGUUGUUGGGUAGGGGAGCGUUCUGUAAGCCGUCGAAGGUGUGCUGUGAGGCAUGCUGGAGGUAUCAGAAGUGCGAAUGCUGACAUAAGUAACGAUAAAGCGGGUGAAAAGCCCGCUCGCCGGAAGACCAAGGGUUCCUGUUCAACGUUAAUCGGAGCAGGGUGAGUCGACCCCUAAGGCGAGGCCGAAAGGCGUAGUCGAUGGGAAACAGGUUAAUAUUCCUGUACUCGGUGUUACUGCGAAGGGGGGACGGAGAAGGCUAUAUCAGCCGGGCGACGGUUGUCCCGGUUUAAGCGUGUAGGCGGAGUGU
rnacentral:rRNA from 1 species